ensembl:lncRNA
GCUGAACAACCCCAGCUCAUACACAGGAGAUGCUCCAGACCCCUCAUCAUCUUUGUGGCCCUCCACUGGACUAUCUCCAGCAGUUUCCUCUCUUGAUCUGUGUCACCCAUAACUGGACACAGUACUCCAGAUGUAGCCUCCCCAGGGCAGAGAAGAUGGGGAGGAUCGCCUCCAUGCUCUACUGGCCACGUUCUCCCCAGUGCACCCCGGGAUACCAUUGGUCUUCUUGGCCACCAGGGCACCCUGCUGGCUCAUGGACAACCUUUUGGCCACAGGGACAUCCAAGUCCUUCUCUGGAGAGCUCCUCUCCAGCAGGCCAUGGACAGUAAAAAAGACUGGAGAAAGAAAG